UACAGAGGGUGCGAGCGUUGUCCGGAAUCACUGGGCGUAAAGGGCGCGUAGGUGGCUUACCAAGCGUGUGGUGAAAGCCCCGGAGCUCAACUCCGGGUCUGCCAUGCGAACUGGCAGGCUGGAGCACGGUAGAGGCCAAUGGAAUUCCGGGUGUAGCGGUGGAAUGCGUAGAGAUCCGGAAGAACACCGGUGGCGAAGGCGGCAUCCUGGACCGGCAUUGACGCUGAGGAGCGAAAGCUAGGGGAGCAAACGGGG
rnacentral:rRNA from 1 species